rnacentral:rRNA from 1 species
GUCUAUGGCCAUACCACCCUGAACGCGCCCGAUCUCGUCUGAUCUCGGAAGAAAAGUUUUGAAGAGUUGAAAUAAAACUGAGGAAUUAUGAAAUUAGUGGCAGUAGAAU